rnacentral:rRNA from 1 species
UGGGGAAUUUUGCACAAUGGGGGAAACCCUGAUGCAGCGACGCCGCGUGAUUUAGAAGGCCUUCGGGUUGUAAAAAUCUUUUGGAUGGGAAGAAAAUGACAGUACCAUACGAAUAAGGACCGGCUAAUUACGUGCCAGCAGCCGCGGUAAUACGUAAGGUCCGAGCGUUGUCCGGAAUCAUUGGGCGUAAAGGGUACGUAGGCGGAUAAGCAAGUUAGAAGUGAAAUCCUAUAGCUCAACUAUAGUAAGCUUUUAAAACUGCUCAUCUUGAGGUAUGGAAGGGAAAGUGGAAUUCCUAGUGUAGCGGUGAAAUGCGCAGAUAUUAGGAGGAAUACCGGUGGCGAAGGCGACUUUCUGGCCAUAUACUGACGCUGAGGUACGAAAGCGUGGGUAGCAAACAGG